GUCCCUUGUCACGUAUGUACUCUGCUGAGGCUCACUGAUCACCAAAGGAAUGUCGCAUCUGCACCCACAGCAGCAAAGCAGCGCUGUCCCACAUUCGGAACGUCAGCAGGAUAAGCACUAACCGCAGAAGCCUGCUCUGAGUCAUGCCACCUUGGAUGAUGUUAUCACAUACUGCUCACCGAGCCAUCAGCCUGGAGGAAGGAGGAACUUCACCAAGACCCCACUGGUGACACCAGCCCCUGCCUCCCAGCCCUGCAAAAGAAAUGGCAAUGCUGCAACCCGGCCAGGGCUUGCCCUGAAAGCACCGUGAUGCCGAUGGGAGGGGGCGUGCCCCCCACAAGAGGACCGGCUACCUGGGAAAGGCCAUGUGGGCCUUCCAGGAAGGCUCUGCAUCUUUAAGAAGGUCAGAGCUGGGAUUCUAGUCUCCUCGCUUCCUCUCCCUCUCCUGCAACAGCCAAAGCCUGCACCGUCACCCUCAUCCAAAUCCUUUCUCAGCUUUUCCCUGGAACCCUGGCUCACCAGGAACCAACCUGCAGAGUACCAUAAAACCCUAUUUUUAGAAAAAAGCCAUGCCACCAGAAAUGUCUGUUUCAGAGAGCCAAAGUGCCAUAUAAGGUUUCUUUUCUUUUUCUUUCUUUCUUUCUUUUUUUGAGACAGAGUCUCACUCUAUUGCCCAGGCUGAAGUGCAAUGGCACAAUCUUACAAUCUUGGCUUACUGCCACCUCCACCUCCCAGGUUCAAGUGAUUCUCCUGCCUCAGCCUCCCAAGUGGCUGGGAUUACAGGCAUGCGCCAUAUGCCCAGCUAAUCUUUGUAUUUUUAGCAGAGAUGGGGUUUCACCAUGUUGGUCAGGCUGGUCUUGAACUCCUGACCUCGGAUGAUCCACCCGCUUCAGCCUCCCAAAGUGCUGGGAUUACUGGUGAGUCACUCACCUGGCCUCUUUUUCUUAAAAAAAAAAAAAAAAAAAUCUGACAGUUUGAAGCUUUUGUAUCACUCUCUUAAUAUCACGAGUGCCUGAAUCAGUCAUAAAGGAGAAGACAGCACAGAACAGACUUUCCUCCAACGCUAAUUCCGAUGAGGCGUGUUCAGCAUAAAGCUUUUUUUUUUUUAAGAUGGGGGUUCACCAUGUUGGUCAGGUUGGUCUUGAACUCCCAACCUCAGAUGAUCCGCCCACCUUGGCCUCCAAAGUGCUUGGAUUACAGGCAUAAGCCACCACGCCCAGCCAGCAUACAGCUUUUUAACAAACGGCUCAUCAAAGGCACUAGAAGGCUGUGCUCCUCCCCCAGGAAAGCGCACACAAAUCACCUGGAGGUUAAAAUGCAGUUUGUGAAAGCAGAGAUGUGGGCAGGCCCAGGCCCAACCAGGGCUCCCAACGCAGGUGCAAGGGACCUCAUUAUGAGAAAUAAACCUCUAAAAGACUCAAAGCUUUUAAAGUAGAAAGGAAAGUCAGCAUGUAUUACA